UCCUCUGUUCAGUCGGUAGAACGGCGGACUGUUAAUCCGUAUGUCACUGGUUCGAGUCCAGUCAGAGGAGCCA
rnacentral:tRNA from 1 species